GCACUCGUGGGUUCAAAUGCGAUAGAUACGUUGAUCCAGCUCCAAGUCUAUGGAUUCCGUUUAAGUUGAUUCUAGUGUUGGAGAACGCCAUCCCCGCGCUUGGGUUUGUGUGGAAUCCGAAGCAGUCUGUGCAGCGUGUAACUGAUCGCUGAGUUGCUGCCACUCCAGGUUAAGUGUAGCACAUGCGAGUGAUGAGCCUGCUGCAGCGGUGCCUCAAGCUGAAUAGUAUGAAUGGGACCCACCCAUCCAUCCCUGCUACAGCAACAUCACCUGCAUCGGAAACUGCGUGCUGUUGCGGAUCCCACAACGACGACGGAGAAACCGAGCUCGCGACAUCGUGACGCGGCCAUCGAAGGCGCUCCAGUCGCGUCGCCGCUCAGUAAUACUAAGCACUCUCGUUUUCUGGGUUUUCUACUUUGUAAUAUAUUCUUCUUUAAAUAAAUAAAUAAAUAUAUAUAUAUAU
rnacentral:lncRNA from 1 species